rnacentral:rRNA from 1 species
GGCGCACGGGUGCGAAACGGUUAUGCCAACUUACCUUUCGAAGGGGAAAACCCGGUGAAAGCCGGACUAAUUCCGCAUACAAUAAUUUUUCGCCCUGGAUUAAUUAGGAAAGAUUUAUCGCUGACAGAUAGGCAUGCGUCCCAUUAGCUUGUGGGUGAGGUAACGGCUCACCAAGGCAACGAUGGGUAGGGGAACUGAGAGGGUGAUCGGCCACACUGGGACUGAGACACGGCCCAGACUCUUACGGGAGGCAGCAGUAGGGAAUCUUCGGCAAUGGGGGCAACCCUGACCGAGCAACGCCGCGUGAGUGAAGAAGGUUUUCGGAUCGUAAAGCUCUGCUGUAAGAGAAGAACGUGUGUGAGAGUGGAAAGUUCACACAGUGACGGUAACUUACCAGAAAGGGACGGCUAACUACGUGCCAGCAGCCGCGGUAAUACGUAGGUCCCGAGCGUUGUCCGGAUUUAUUGGGCGUAAAGCGAGCGCAGGCGGUUUAAUAAGUCUGAAGUUAAAGGCAGUGGCUUAACCAUUGUUCGCUUUGGAAACUGUUAAACUUGAGUGCAGAAGGGGAGAGUGGAAUUCCAUGUGUAGCGGUGAAAUGCGUAGAUAUAUGGAAGAACACCAGUGGCGAAGGCGGCUCUCUGGUCUGCAACUGACGCUGAGGCUCGAAAGCAUGGGUAGCGAACAGGAUUAGAUACCCUGGUAGUCCAUGCCGUAAACGAUGAGUGCUAAGUGUUGGGAGGUUCCGCCUCUCAGUGCUGCAGCUAACGCAUAAGCACUCCG